CACGUAGGGCGCAAGCGUUGUCCGGAAUUAUUGGGCGUAAAGGGCGCGUAGGUGGUGACCUAAGCGUGCGGUGAAAGCCCGAGGCUCAACCUCGGGUCGGCCGUGCGAACUGGGUCACUGGAGCAGAAUAGAGGCAGGUGGAAUUCCGGGUGUAGCGGUGGAAUGCGUAGAGAUCCGGAAGAACACCGGUGGCGAAGGCGGCCUGCUGGGUUCUGGCUGACACUGAGGCGCGACAGCGUGGGGAGCAAACAGG
rnacentral:rRNA from 1 species